GCCUGGCUUAAUGAGUCUGUGUGCCCAAUCCUUCCCUGUGCAGUGAGGAAUAAAGGGACACCAUGUUAGGCAAACUUUUGUCUGCACACUCCCUUCCCACUUUCAACUCUGAGCCUCUUGAGGAGCCACAUAGUCUACCAUUUGCUUUGGUCUCAAAAAGCUAUGGAUCCUUAGUGAGCUCCAGUGUUGGGAGUGUCUACUUAAAAUGCUGUGAUGCCAGCUAUUUCCAUGUAAGCUGUUGGUCUUUCCAAUAAAUUGUUUAUUGCAGUUAAAAAAUGA